CACGGGGGGAGCAAGCGUUGUUCGGAAUCACUGGGCGUAAAGAGCGUGUAGGCGGCCAGAUAAGUCCGCUGUGAAAUCUCGAGGCUCAACUUCGAGCUGUCGGUGGAAACUGUCUGGCUAGAGUCCGGAAGAGGAGAAUGGAAUUCCUGGUGUAGCGGUGAAAUGCGCAGAUAUCAGGAAGAACACCCGUGGCGAAGGCGGUUCUCUGGGACGGUACUGACGCUGAGACGCGAAAGCGUGGGGAGCGAACAGG
rnacentral:rRNA from 1 species